UGGGGAAUCUUGCGCAAUGGGCGAAAGCCUGACGCAGCAACGCCGCGUGCGGGAUGAAGGCCUUCGGGUUGUAAAGCACUUUUGGCAGGAAAGAAAUCGCGCAAAUUAAUACUUUGCGUGGAUGACGGUACCUGCAGAAUAAGCACCGGCUAACUCCGUGCCAGCAGCCGCGGUAAUACGGAGGGUGCAAGCGUUCUCCGGAUUCACUGGGCGUAAAGGGUGCGUAGGCUGUGUUGUAAGUCAGAUGUG
rnacentral:rRNA from 1 species